rnacentral:lncRNA from 1 species
UUUGAAUCAGAUGGGGUAUAAUUUUUCAUUUUUCUGAGUGUACAGGUUGCAGAAUCACAUUGGUCAUGCAGUCAAAUAUAUAUAUAUAUACAGCAAUAAUAAAUAAUUUUUUAAAAAAAUAUUUUUUAAUUGUACAUGAGUGCAGUAUCUUUAUUUUCUUUAUUUACUUUUAUGUGGUGCUGAGGAUUGAACCAAGUGCCUCACACAUGAAGGCGAGCACUUUAUGCUGAGCCAAACACCAGACACCAAGAAUUUUUUAUACAAGGAAAAAUUAGCCCUUUUUCUUUGAUAUGAGUUACAAUUAUUUUUUCCAGCUUGCCAUUUAUAUUUUCCUGUGGUGACUCAGUAUGCAAAGUAAUUCUAUAUAUUCUUUAUUGAUAUUUUCAUUAGUGCCCUCUAAAUUUUGUGGUAUAGUUUGACAUUCCCUACUUCAUGUUCCAUGGUUGCUGCAGAUUUUAUUGUUGCUAUAAUAUUUUCAUUAUUUUGUAACUAUUCAUUACUUUUAAAAUUUUAAAAUGUUGAUAAUAUUUGCAUUAUUAUGUAAAUAUGAAGUACAUUUAGAACCUGUCUUAACAUAUCAAAAUAUGUUUUCAACUUUACAUCAUUAAGAUGAUUACCUGAUUGUCCCAAUCCCAUUCAUUGAAUAACCCCUCCCUUAUUACUACUUUGACAUACAGUCUUUAUUAUGUACUAAAUUAUCAUACGCACUCAUGGAGAUUUUUGUUCCAUUGACUAGUUUUUCCUGUACAUGGCUCAGUACUACACUGUCGUACUUAUUCAGACAUUAUUCAAUGUCGUCAUUGCCUUCGUUGCUCUCCUUUUUUAGAAGUAGUUGAGGUUCAUUUUCUGUUAUUUCCUUUACCUGUUAGUUUUUGCUUCCAAAAACACUGUUGAUGAUUUUUACAAAUUGUGUUGCCCACCACCUGUCUCAACUGUCUCCUUGUCUGUAUGGGUGUUUCAGUUGAUGUGUGGGGUGUUCAGGAGUCCCAUGUCCUCCCCUGCCAUUCUCUCUACACCUGUUUCACUAGGCCUCAGGCCACUCUUCCUCUGCAACCACAUUAACAAGAUCAGCAACCACUCCACAUUGCUUAGGCAAGGGUCAACUUCACAACCUCUCAGAUACUACUGACACUGAUUUUGGAACUCCACAUUCUCCAGUCCUCCUUCCCCAAUAGCUGUUCCUUUUCAGUCUAUUUUGCUGAAUCCAACUUUUCUCAGGACUUCUAACAAAUGGAGACUCCAAUGGUAGAUACUGAGAACAAGCUCCAAAGGCCAUGCAUAGUCUUUUGUAGUUCCGGGGGGUACUGGGGAUUGAACUCAGGGGCACUCAAUCAUUGAGUCAUAUCCCCAGCCUUAUUUUGUAUUUUAUUUAGAGACAGGUUCUCACUGAGUUGCUUAGCAUCUCACUUUUGCUGAGGCUGGCUUUGA